CCUACGGGAGGCAGCAGUAGGGAAUCUUCCACAAUGGACGAAAGUCUGAUGGAGCAAUGCCGCGUGAGUGAAGAAGGGUUUCGGCUCGUAAAACUCUGUUGUUAAAGAAGAACACCUUUGAGAGUAACUGUUCAAGGGUUGACGGUAUUUAACCAGAAAGCCACGGCUAACUACGUGCCAGCAGCCGCGGUAAUACGUAGGUGGCAAGCGUUGUCCGGAUUUAUUGGGCGUAAAGCGAGCGCAGGCGGUUUUUUAAGUCUGAUGUGAAAGCCUUCGGCUUAACCGGAGAAGUGCAUCGGAAACUGGGAGACUUGAGUGCAGAAGAGGACAGUGGAACUCCAUGUGUAGCGGUGGAAUGCGUAGAUAUAUGGAAGAACACCAGUGGCGAAGGCGGCUGUCUAGUCUGUAACUGACGCUGAGGCUCGAAAGCAU
rnacentral:rRNA from 1 species